rnacentral:rRNA from 1 species
AUUGAACGCUGUCGGCAUGCCUUACACAUGCAAGUCGAACGGCAGCACGGGGGCAACCCUGGUGGCGAGUGGCGAACGGGUGAGUAAUACAUCGGAACGUGUCCUGUUGUGGGGGAUAACCCACCGAAAGGUGAGCUAAUACCGCAUGAUCUGGAGACAGCAAAGCAGGGGAUCGCAAGACCUUGCGCGAUUGGCGCGGCCGAUGUCCGAUUAGCUAGUUGGCGGGGUAAAGGCCCACCAAGGCGACGAUCGGUAGCUGGUCUGAGAGGAUGAUCAGCCACACUGGGACUGAGACACGGCCCAGACUCCUACGGGAGGCAGCAGUGGGGAAUUUUGGACAAUGGGGGCAACCCUGAUCCAGCCAUGCCGCGUGAGUGAAGAAGGCCUUCGGGUUGUAAAGCUCUUUCGGUGGGAACGAAACGGUUCGUGCUAAUACCACGGACUACUGACGGUACUCACAGAAGAAGCACCGGCUAACUACGUGCCAGCAGCCGCCGUAACAC